rnacentral:lncRNA from 1 species
AUUAAAAAAGCUAACGAGAUAUACAUCCAACCAAAACUGGAUCCGCUCCAUUUUUUUACCCUGGUAUCUAUCUAUCUAUCUCUCUAUCAAAUAAUCAAUUCAUGUUUGUUAUGAGCUGACCUCAUGUUGGUAUGGUUCGGGCGAAGCCCUCACUAAGCAUGCAGCGCCUACCCGGCACCUACCCGGCGCUGACAUUCUUACUUGUCUACAUUCCUACGUCGCUAUGCAACACCUGCUGGAACCCUUAGCUUCUUCCCCUUCCCAUAUAACAUUCUAUAUGCCCAGAGAACCUGUUGUUUUUCCUUUCUCUCCUUUAUUCCUCAUGUUAUGUUUUCUAUUCGGUUUUUACUCUUAUACUGAGUACCAGGCGGGACUAGCCCGUAACAAUGUUGUCAUGAUUUUUAACCAUCGUAAAAACUCGGCGUGGAGCGUAGUUGUGCGGAACGAACUAUAGCCCGAAUAUGUAUGUACCUGUGUGUGGUUAUUGUGUACAAAGCAAUAAAUAAAUCUAAGUUACGGAGGGAGGAACACUUAUACAGUUAUCAUCGCGGACAUCUUAACUUACUUAUUACAUCACUGGCAUCAAUCCAACGCACUUGUUGAUUGUGACUUCGUUCUCGUGAAUAGAAUGUCUCGUCACAGCUGCAUGCAGAAAUCAAAUUAUUAAUAUACUCAGCGGUGUGCUUGUAUGUAUGUAUGUAUUGUUGUUAUAGGUAGGGCUGAUCUUAACUUGCAUUUUACUUAACGGACGGCUUAUGCUUAACCCGCGACAUUAGCUAAGUAAGAUUUUUAAUCUGCUAGAAUUUUAUCUUAUUAUCCAAGACUAAAUAAAAUACUUUCUUUAUAUAUUUCGUUAAUUAAUUGAUUUGUAUAGUUUAACGUAACUAACUAUUGGAGAAGGAGAGAUGCCUCGUCAAGUAGGCGAGUGCCAACAAGAGAACAACCACGCUGCCGCGGAACUCGUGUCUGCGGCGAGGAAGAUAACCAAUCCUGAGAUCCUAUAAGAGCCAACAAGAAAACGAAGACGU